rnacentral:rRNA from 1 species
GACGAACGCUGGCGGCGUGCUUAACACAUGCAAGUCGAGCGGUAAGGCCCUUUCGGGGGUACACGAGCGGCGAACGGGUGAGUAACACGUGGGUGACCUGCCCUCAGCUCUGGGAUAAGCCUGGGAAACCGGGUCUAAUACCGGAUAUGACUCCAUGACGCAUGUUGUGGGGCGGAAAGCCUUGUGCGGCUGAGGAUGGGCCCGCGGCCUAUCAGCUUGUUGGUGGGGUGAUGGCCUACCAAGGCGACGACGGGUAGCCGGCCUGAGAGGGCGACCGGCCACACUGGGACUGAGACACGGCCCAGACUCCUACGGGAGGCAGCAGUGGGAAUCUUGCGCAAUGGGCGAAAGCCUGACGCAGCGACGCCGCGUGAGGGAUGACGGCCUGGUGUAACU